rnacentral:rRNA from 1 species
UACGGAGGGGGCUAGCGUUGUUCGGAAUCACUGGGCGUAAAGGGCGCGUAGGCGGCUUUUCAAGUCGGGGGUGAAAGCCUGUGGCUCAACCACAGAAUUGCCUUCGAUACUGUUAGGCUUGAGACCGGAAGAGGUGAGUGGAACUGCGAGUGUAGAGGUGAAAUUCGUAGAUAUUCGCAAGAACACCAGUGGCGAAGGCGGCUCACUGGUCCGGUUCUGACGCUGAGGCGCGAAAGCGUGGGGAGCAAACAGG